AUUUUAUCUGAAUAACCCAGAUUCUCAUAAAAAACCCUCAUUGUUUCCUACACAGGCCCUAACUUCUUCUCAGCAGGAGUUGGAUAGACUGCUAAGCCUGGUGUGACUUGAGGUCAGGGAGACUCACUUUACACUGCAGCUAUGCCAGGAUGAAUUUGCAUUUCCAACACUUUUCUUCAGGAUAGUAAAAGCUGCGGAGUACCUAGGAACAUUUCCACGUUGGGACAUUUUUCUUCUCCACAAGGUGGUGCUAUUACUAUGCGAUAUUGUAUCUUUUCUUCAGCGUGAACUGAAGCAGUUUUAUUUCCAAAAGGCAUAAAAUGUCGUGCCAUUUUGAGCCAUGAGCAGAACAAUUUAAGAUCCCAUACACCUAUUAAAAAGG
rnacentral:lncRNA from 1 species